CGGUUUGUUGUUGGAGUUGACGAGACGAUCCACUGAGAGCAUUCAGCAGCUUCUUCUCGUCUGUCUGCGGACUGGCCGAAAGUUGGUGACCGCGGAGAGGAAUUGAAGGCGAGUUGAACGCGAGACGUCGUCCAGCCAUUAUUCACGAAGCAGCAAAAACCAAACAAAGGAACUGGAGAUACAGUUCUUCUGAAUAUAGUAACACACACGUGUCUGUUUGUAUGCUCGUCUUGCAAGUACUGCUGUCUGAGUCAUGCCUAUGACCUCACACUAUGACCUCACACGUGAGGUCAUAGGCGAGGAGUCUAAGGGUCCUCCAAUCACAUACGAGGUUAUUGUUAUACGGAAGGACCAGUAUUUUAGGAAGACAAAUGGUUGGGACUUUGAAACAGCUGAUAUGCUUUAUGUAAAGCAGUGUUUUGGUGUCAGCGGAACGACUUUCCCUAGAAAACUGUACAGUGGUGCCUCUUUCUCCAUUCCACCAGACAAUCUUGAGUCUGACAUACAUGUAAUGUUGACAAUGUAUCAUCAGAUGUACCCUUGUGUCACUGAGGUUGAAUGUUUUGCCAUGACAUGUAAACGAGUAACAUAUAUGAAUGUAACUUACUCAAUCGAUAGAUGCAGAGCAUAAAGGUCAGCAUAUGUUCAUGCUAAGUGGUGUGGAAACACUAACAGUUUUGAGGAACCCGUCCAGGUGAAACCGGUCGAGUCCAGAAGAGUGCGGUGAGUGAAAGGGGGGAAUACAGGCUCCAGCUGGUGGAGAGAGGGACUGACAGAUUUAAAGAAGAGACGGGUGGGGCCCAGCGGGUGGGGCAGGCGAGUGACGGAGUGAAUGAAGGGACAGGUGAAGCCCAGCAGGUGGGACAGGCAAGCCAGGGAGUGGACAAUGGGGCGGGUGGGGCCCAGCAGGCGGGGCAGGCGAGUGACGGAGUGAAUGAAGGGGUGAGUGGGGCCCAGCAGGUGGGGCAGGUGAGUGACGGAGUGAAUGAAGGGGUGAGUGGGGCCCAGCAGGUGGGGCAGGCGAGUGAUGGAGUGAAUGAAGGGACGAGUGGGGCCCAACAGGUGGGGCAGGCGAGUGACUUGAGUAAAUGAGAAAUCAGACGGGGUCCAGCUUGCGGAUCAAGGGGGUGGAGGGAUGGCAAGAGGAGCCGGGAACGGGUUUGGGGACUUACGUUAAAGGGACACUGUCUACAGAUAGCGACAUGGACAUGGAGGGAGAAGAUGUUAAAAGUCCCCCGCCUGAAGAGGAAGAUGGAGAACAGUGGGGGCUCUCAGGCCAAGAAGGGGUCAGGGAACAGAGGGACAGACGGAGGUGGAGCAGCAGGAGCGGAGUCUUCUGCGGACAGCGUCUCCUCUGGCGGGAUGGCCACCAAUUGGUACAGCGUGGAAAGGGUGAAACUUUUCCUGAAGACCACCAAGAACAUGAAGGCGAUAAAGCUGGAGGACUACUUUCCAGAUAUAGAGAUAUUCGGUCGUACUGCUCGGGAGGGUGCAAGCAAACAAGGUAGUUCCUGAUACACACAGCAGGAGGUCUUCCGGCUGCGAAAGAUCGUCCAGAGGAUCAAUAAUGGCAACGAGAGGGCUGCUGGGGACUGAGUAGAGUACCGGCAGAGGUGAGGAGCCAGUGACCAGAGGAACUACCGGUUCGUUGGCGGCGUGGGCGGCCUCGGUGUGCGUCCACGGCCUCUGGUGUGGACUGGCUGAAAGGAGAUUUUGUCUUCAGUCAUUUUUGUUUGUGUUUGUUUUUAUAAGAAAAUUAAGGUUUUUCAAAAAUCAAAUCUCUCUCUCUCUCUCACCUGCCUGGGGGGCACUAACACCACCAGGAGGCCUAAUAGCAGAAAUAAAAAGGUCUGUAGUGGACUUCUUCUGGUCCGGCCAUCACUGGGUUUGUGCAGCAGCUCUCUACCUACCCGUGGCGGAGCGAGGACAGGGUCUCAUUGAUAUACAGUCAAGAAUCACAUCUUUCAGACUCCGGACUGCACAGAAGCCGCUAUAUGCCUGUGGCCCUAGCUGGUUGGACACUGCUCGACUGCUGUUGAGGAGAGCCGGACGGUUGGGAUACGAUAAGCAGCUUUUUCUUCAACAGUCUGAGGGAGUGGACUUGGCCGGGCUGACGCCAUUCUCCGUUCUGCAGGCAUGGCACGUUUUCAGCAUCUCACGCGAAGCUGAUGAGACUCUGGGCGUGUGACUGUUGGAGGAGCCCUUGUUCUUCAACAGCUUCAGUCUGCAAGCAUGCGAACGGGACUGAGAGAAGCAGGCUGCACCAAAUUGGGACACUUGGUGAAGACGGCUUCAACAGCAACAGCCAUGGUCGCAUUCAGGCAGAACGCCAACAUCACGUCUGCUAGGUUGACCAACAAGUUAGUGGAGGAGGUCUGCGAUGCGCUGCCACAUCACCUGAGAGCAGCCGCAGAAAACUGUGCUCUGGCUGACCAAUGGGAUGAAGAGAGUGAGUAAGCCCCCCCACCUUGCUCAUUGCCCCAGCUGUGGGGGACUGGCAGGGAGGAGGAAGUAAACUGCUGACAUUCACAACCUCUCGCCUGGACACCUUUUAGGCGACAGGGAGGAACAGGAUCUAUGAAAUGUGCGUGAAGGUUGUGAACUUGCGCUCUCUCGAGGUGUUGAAGGAGUCGAGGUAGACCAAGUACUUUGGCCUAGGCUCUUCCCCGAAGGGCAGCUGGAGGUGCUUGUAUAAACCGCCCAUUGAGAAACGGACAGCAGACCUCCAGUGGAGGAUUGUGCACGGUGCUAUAGCCACAAACCGAUACCGGGCACAUCGGGGAGGAGUGUGAAUUUUGCCAUCAGACUGAGACCCUGGAACACUUGUUUGUUCAGUGUUCCCAGCUCUCAGUUCUCUUUGAACUUUUGAAGGGAUGGUUUCAGUGCCUUGGAGAGGGUUUUUCUUUUGCCUUAUUUAUUUUCGUUCCAAAAUAUUGUAAAAAUGAAAAAGCUUCCCACACAAUGGUGAACUUUGUCUGGUUCUGCCAUAUUAGCCAUCUGGCUGACACGGAAGAACAGGGCGAGGGGUGCUGGUAGUGAGGACCUGGUGAAGGUCCUGAAGGGCCUCCUGAAAGCCCAAAUCAAGGUGGAGCAUGCCUAUUAUCAGACUGUGGAAGACGUAAAGACUUUCAGGGACAGAUGAACUACUUGGAGCAUUUUAUGCUCAGUAGGUGUUGGUGCAAAGCUGGUGAUGAACCUUUGAAUGCAGAUGUUUGUGACGGUUUACUCUCUUUUGUUUUUGCUUGUUGGACUAGUAUGUUUAUUGUUUUUUUUAUGUUUUAGAGUGUGUUCUGGUUUCAUUGUAAAAGUGGAAUAAAGGAUUCUUUAAACCUUAAACUGUUUUUUUCAUAGAACUGGAUCCACUAGGCAGACUUAACUUCAGUUAGUUUAUUUUAAUACACAGGUUGAUACUGUGUGUGGCUGGAUGCUGGAGCUCCAGACGGG
ensembl:lncRNA